UACGGAGGGUGCAAGCGUUAUCCGGAUUCACUGGGUUUAAAGGGUGCGUAGGCGGGUUGGUAAGUCCGUGGUGAAAUCUCCAAGCUUAACUUGGAAACUGCCGUGGAUACUAUCAAUCUUGAAUAUCGUGGAGGUAAGCGGAAUAUGUCAUGUAGCGGUGAAAUGCUUAGAUAUGACAUAGAACACCAAUUGCGUAGGCAGCUUACUACACGAUCAUUGACGCUGAGGCACGAAAGCGUGGGUAGCAAACAGG
rnacentral:rRNA from 1 species